rnacentral:misc_RNA from 1 species
GAUGAAGAACGUAGCGAAAUGCGAUAAGUAAUGUGAAUUGCAGAAUUCCGUGAACCAUCGAAUCUUUGAACGCACAUUGCGCCCGCUGGAACUCCGGCGGGCACGCCUGUCCGAGCGUCAUUUCAACCCUCAGGCCCCCCUUCGCGGGCGGGCCUGGUGUUGGGGCCCGGCCGCUACCCUGCGGCCGUCCCCUAAAUCCAGUGGCGGCCUCGCCGUGAUCCCUUGCGUAGUAAUGCACCUCGCACCGGAGAGCGCCGUGGCCACGCCGUAAAACCCCCAAUUUUCAAUGGUUGACCUCGGAUCAGGUGGGAAUACCCGCUGAACUUAAGCAUAUCAAUAAGCGGAGGA